rnacentral:lncRNA from 1 species
UGCUGGGGGUGCUGGGGGGUGCCGGGGUCCCAGCCCCGCGCCCCCCGCAGCUCCCUGGCGCCCGGAGCACUCGUGCCUGGCCGGGGCGCGGACUCCGACCUUGCCCCGCGCUCGCCGGCUGGCCGCGGGCCCAGCGCCCAGCAGCGAAGCUCUGCAGAUCAGUGCUCCCACGAGAUAAGACGGGGUCUGCUCCCUGCUCCUCGCCGGCAGGAAAAUCAGCGAUGCCUUAAACCAGCCGGUCCUGGCGAGCACACGGUACAAUGAUCUCAGCAGCUAUUUAAUCUUGUCUUUCUCGCCAGCAGCCCUGGUAGAGGGUGGAGGGCGCCGCCUGCCCUGUAAACUGUGAAAAGGGCCUCCCCCAGGCUCUUCUUGCUCCUGCACAUGCAUCUUCCUCCCCCAGCUGCCCGUCCCGCUGCUUGCAGGAUGGCUCUGGCCAUGGCUGCGCCGGCAGGCGCUGCAGGAUGCAACGCCACGGGAGCCGUGCAGAGCCCCGACGGCUGUCCUGCUCCCGGUGUCACCGGUGCCAUGUCCUGGGCUCGGUGCACCCAGUGCUGCCGGGAAGGGGAACCGGUGGCCAGGGAAGGUGCAGGAUGUCACUCCACUGCUGCUCGACCCCACUGUUUCCCCACCGCCCUGGGGAGAGGAAAUGGUGAGGGGCUGCCAAGACCCCCAGCGCUUUGGGGGGGGCUCACUGCCUUUCCAGGGCUGGAAGCGCGGAUGGAGCCUGCGGUGCAGGGCAGAGGGGGCAUCGUGUCCCCCAGCAGCCUCCACGCUGGAAUCUUGUUCGGAGCAUGCAUGGAGACACUGCACCUCUGUCGACUCCCCCCAGGCCCCAGAUUCGGGACAGCGAGCCCAUUGUGGAGCCCCACUGAAGCCCUCGGAGCUGCCCCGCUCCGGGGGCUCUUUCUCCGAGCGCCGCCGGGGGCACCAGCCCUCUGCACUGCAGUGACCGCUCUGCCCAAAGUAAACAUGGAAAAAAGCUCUAUUGCUGCCCUGGCUCCUGCUGGCG